rnacentral:rRNA from 1 species
AGUGAACGCUGGCGGCGUGCUUAACACAUGCAAGUCGAACGGUAACAGAGAGAGCUUGCUCUUUGCUGACGAGUGGCGCACGGGUGAGUAAUAUAUAGUUAAUGUGCCUUCAAGACCGGGAUAGCCAUUGGAAACGAUGAUUAAUACUGGAUAUACCGUUUUAGCUUAAGUUAGAAUGGGAAACGUUUUUUCGCUUGAAGAUCAGACUAUAUCCUAUCAGCUAGUUGGUGAGGUAAUGGCUCACCAAGGCAAUGACGGGUAGCGGGUUUGAGAGGAUGAUCCGCCACACUGGUACUGAGACACGGACCAGACUCCUACGGGAGGCAGCAGUGAGGAAUAUUGCACAAUGGGGGGAACCCUGAUGCAGCAACGCCGCGUGGAGGAUGACGCAUUUCGGUGUGUAAACUCCUUUUAUAUGUCAAGAAAAUGACGGUAGCAUAUGAAUAAGCACCGGCUAACUCCGU